rnacentral:misc_RNA from 1 species
GAAAUGCGAUAAGUAGUGUGAAUUGCAGAAUUCAGUGAAUCAUCGAAUCUUUGAACGCACAUUGCGCCCUUUGGUAUUCCUUAGGGCAUGCCUGUUCGAGCGUCAUCUAAACCUUCAAGCCCUGCUUGGUGUUGGGUGCCUGUCCCGCCUCCGCGCGCGGACUCACCUCAAAUCCAUUGGCGGCCACCGCGUCGGCCACGAGCGCAGCAGAAACGCGAACUCGUGAGCCCGUCCGGGCGGCUCCCAGAAGCUACACCCACCCAGUUUGACCUCGGAUCAGGUAGGGAUACCCGCUGAACUUAAGC